rnacentral:rRNA from 1 species
UACGUAGGGGGCAAGCGUUGUCCGGAUUUAUUGGGCGUAAAGAGCGUGUAGGCGGCUUUACAGGUCCGUUGUGAAAACUCGAGGCUCAACCUCGAGACGCCGGUGGAAACCGUAAAGCUAGAGUCCGGAAGAGGAGAGUGGAAUUCCUGGUGUAGCGGUGAAAUGCGCAGAUAUCAGGAGGAACACCCGUGGCGAAAGCGGCUCUCUGGGACGGUACUGACGCUGAGACGCGAAAGCGUGGGGAGCAAA